rnacentral:lncRNA from 1 species
AGACUGAGCAAUGGCCCCAGAAACUGAUCAUGCAGCUCAUCCCUCAGCAACUGCUGACCACCCUGGGCCCGCUGUUCCGGAACUCGAGAAUGGUCCAGUUCCACUUCACCAACAAGGACCUGGAGUCCCUCAAAGGCCUCUACCGCAUCAUGGGCAAUGGCUUUGCCGGCUGCGUGCACUUCCCACAUACAGCCCCGUGCGAGGUGCGCGUGCUCAUGCUCCUGUACUCGUCUAAGAAGAAGAUCUUCAUGGGCCUCAUCCCCUACGACCAGAGUGGCUUCGUCAAUGGCAUCCGCCAGGUCAUCACCAACCAUAAGCAGGUCCAGCAGCAGAAGCUAGAGCAGCAGCGUGGGUUACAGCUCCGUGCACCACAGCCUCAGCCUCAGGGUGCUGUGGGAGCUUCUGCGGCUACAGGGCAGCCCCAGCCCCAAGGUACUACCCAGGCCCCAACAGGGGCACCCCAAGGUCCUCCUGGAGCAGCCCCUGGCCCACCUCCUUCUGGACCCAUCCUUCGACCCCAGAACCCUGGAGCCAACCCCCAGCUGCGGAGCCUUCUCCUUAAUCCAGCACCGCCCCAGACUGGGGUACCCCCACCCCAGGCCUCCCUACACCACCUCCAGCCUCCAGGGGCCCCUGCAUUGCUGCCGCCACAUCAGAGCCUGGGGCAGCCGCAGCUAGGGCCGCAACUCCUGCACCCUCCACCUACCCAGUCUUGGCCCACACAGCUACCCCAGAGGGCGCCACUGCCAGGUCAGAUGCUGCUGAGCGGGGGUCCCCGGGGCCCGGUUCCCCAGCCGGGCCUGCAGCCCAGCGUCAUGGAGGACGACAUCCUCAUGGACCUCAUCUGAACCCAACACCCAAUAAAGUUCCUUUUAACAAUG